rnacentral:lncRNA from 10 species
GAGGAAUGGGAGAGGAGCUUUCCACUCCUCUGAGAGUCAUGUCGAGAGUCUGUCUUAGCCCUCGACCCCUCAGUCUUUGUAGAUCUCAUCCCAGAACCCCGAGGGAGAGGAGAAGUUCUGGUCUCUCCUCGGUGCUGCGGCUGCCCCGGGAAGAGUUUCCAGGAGCUGACAAGCAUUCAGAUGAGUAAAGAUGGGAUCGGAUUGAGAAAAGGAGAAGGGAGAGCAUAUUCGUUCUCUUUCCACCUCCCUCCCACAGCCUUUCAUGCUGAUCUCAUCUGACGAAGCUGCCUCCUCCUCCCUGGACUCUACAAGCCCCUGUCAUGGUCAGUGGCAAUGUUGUCCACAGUGGGUGGCCAGCCUUGAUCUAGCAGUAAAGGAUGGAUUCUGUUAUUUCAGUGAUGUGGGGCUCAGGGUAAUGAAAGUGAUCAUCAAAAAGCAAAAGUAAAGCUGUCCUCACAGGGUUAACAAGAAUUCUGGGCAGAAAUACGGCUAUAAUUAGGCAUUAAUCAGGCUGCACUUUAACCCACUUCCUUGUAACUGACAGACACUGUAGGACUAGAUACUGGCCGUUUGCAUCCCUAAUGUUCCUAUAGAUGGGAUUUCUGAUGUUAGAGCUAUAAGGCUUUUAAGACAGACAAGAUCUUUGACAUUAGAAUCAUAAGGCUCCUGUUUAAAAAUUGCUUAAGAUGUUUCUCAGAUCCUGAAUUCCAGCGAAACAGAUGAUACUAACAAGUUUGAAGACCCCCACAGAGGAAUGGAAUCAGUAUGAGAACACAGUUUCUUCAUCUCCCUGUCCCAGAACUUCACCCUGGACUCCUCGACCAAUCAACAAUCUCCACACUUCGGCCCACUCCAAAACUCCUAAAAUCCCAAGCUCCAAACUCCUCUGGGAGAUGGAUUUGAGGCUUCCUCCCGUUUCCUUGUGUGGAAGCCCUGUCAUUAAACCUCUUUCUCUGCUGCAACCUGAUGUACUUGGUGUAUUGACUUGCCAUGCACAUUGGGCAAGGGAUCUAUUACGCUUACAAGAGCACCUAGAAAGGGCUGCUCUGGGCUGGGUGUGGGGCAGAGUGAAUGGGAAUGGGAACACUGUGGACCUUGGAGCAUGC